CUCUAUAUUUGCAGCUGGGAAAAAUCGUUUGGCUAAAGUCUUGAAACCCCUUGUGCGCAAAAAAAUGAAGUCAGAAUGCAUAGUUCCUGACGUUUUCCUUGCUAAGAAGUGACCUCUGCAAUUUGAAAAAUAUUUUCUGAAAUUCAUUUUCAUUCUUUCCCUUGUUUUCUAUAUACAUUUUUAAAUUCUUCAAGCAUUAUAAAAUAAUAAAAUCAUUUUAUCA